GCACUAUACAGUGGUAUAUAAGUCUAAGGCAUUUGCCCACCCUUGAACUAGUCAAAUGAAGGGAGAUAUCUGGUUACCGUUUACCAGACAAAAUAAUAAUAAUAAUAAAACAAAUUGCUUUACCUUUUUGCUUCCAGAAGAGCUUUUCUCUAUCUUUUC